rnacentral:rRNA from 1 species
UACGUAGGGUGCAAGCGUUAAUCGGAAUUACUGGGCGUAAAGCGUGCGCAGGCGGUUUUGCAAGACAGUUGUGAAAUCCCCGGGCUCAACCUGGGAACUGCAUUUGUGACUGCAAGGCUGGAGUGCGGCAGAGGGGGAUGGAAUUCCGCGUGUAGCAGUGAAAUGCGUAGAUAUGCGGAGGAACACCGAUGGCGAAGGCAAUCCCCUGGGCCUGCACUGACGCUCAUGCACGAAAGCGUGGGGAGCAAACAGG